rnacentral:rRNA from 1 species
UCCAUGUGUAGCGGUGGAAUGCGUAGAUAUAUGGAAGAACACCAGUGGCGAAGGCGGCUGUCUAGUCUGUAACUGACGCUGAGGCUCGAAAGCAUGGGUAGCGAACAGGAUUAGAUACCCUGGUAGUCCAUGCCGUAAACGAUGAGUGCUAAGUGUUGGAGGGUUUCCCCCUUCAGUGCUGCAGCUAACGCAUUAAGCACUCCGCCUGGGGAGUACGACCGCAAGGUUGAAACUCAAAGGAAUUGACGGGGGCCCGCACAAGCGGUGGAGCAUGUGGUUUAAUUCGAAGCUACGCGAAGAACCUUACCAGGUCUUGACAUCUUCUGCCAAUCUUAGAGAUAAGACGUUCCCUUCGGGGACAGAAUGACAGGUGGUGCAUGGUUGUCGUCAGCUCGUGUCGUGAGAUGUUGGGUUAAGUCCCGCAACGAGCGCAACCCUUAUUAUCAGUUGCCAGCAUUCAGUUGGGCACUCUGGUGAGACUGCCGGUGACAAACCGGAGGAAGGUGGGGAUGACGUCAAAUCAUCAUGCCCCUUAUGACCUGGGCUACACACGUGCUACAAUGGACGGUACAACGAGUCGCGAAGUCGUGAGGCUAAGCUAAUCUCUUAAAGCCGUUCUCAGUUCGGAUUGUAGGCUGCAACUCGCCUACAUGAAGUUGGAAUCGCUAGUAAUCGCGGAUCAGCAUGCCGCGGUGAAUACGUUCCCGGGCCUUGUACACACCGCCCGUCACACCAUGAGAGUUUGUAACACCCAAAGCCGGUGAGAUAACCUUCGGGAGUCAGCCGUCUAAGGUGGGACAGAUGAUUAGGGUGAAGUCGUAACAAGGUAACCAAGGGCGAAA